rnacentral:rRNA from 1 species
GACGAACGCUGGCGGCGUGCUUAACACAUGCAAGUCGAACGGAAAGGCCCUGCUUUUGUGGGGUGCUCGAGUGGCGAACGGGUGAGUAACACGUGAGUAACCUGCCCUUGACUUUGGGAUAACUUCAGGAAACUGGGGCUAAUACCGGAUAGGAGCUCCUGCUGCAUGGUGGGGGUUGGAAAGUUUCGGCGGUUGGGGAUGGACUCGCGGCUUAUCAGCUUGUUGGUGGGGUAGUGGCUUACCAAGGCUUUGACGGGUAGCCGGCCUGAGAGGGUGACCGGCCACAUUGGGACUGAGAUACGGCCCAGACUCCUACGGGAGGCAGCAGUGGGGAAUAUUGCACAAUGGGCGGAAGCCUGAUGCAGCAACGCCGCGUGCGGGAUGACGGCCUUCGGGUUGUAAACCGCUUUCACCUGUGACGAAGCGUGAGUGACGGUAAUGGGUAAAGAAGCACCGGCUAACUACGUGCCAGCAGCCGCGGUGAUACGUAGGGUGCGAGCGUUGUCCGGAUUUAUUGGGCGUAAAGGGCUCGUAGGUGGUUGAUCGCGUCGGAAGUGUAAUCUUGGGGCUUAACCCUGAGCGUGCUUUCGAUACGGGUUGACUUGAGGAAGGUAGGGGAGAAUGGAAUUCCUGGUGGAGCGGUGGAAUGCGCAGAUAUCAGGAGGAACACCAGUGGCGAAGGCGGUUCUCUGGGCCUUUCCUGACGCUGAGGAGCGAAAGCGUGGGGAGCGAACAGGCUUAGAUACCCUGGUAGUCCACGCUGUAAACGGUGGGUACUAGGUGUGGGGUCCAUUCCACGGGUUCCGUGCCGUAGCUAACGCUUUAAGUACCCCGCCUGGGGAGUACGGCCGCAAGGCUAAAACUCAAAGGAAUUGACGGGGCCCCGCACAAGCGGCGGAGCAUGCGGAUUAAUUCGAUGCAACGCGUAGAACCUUACCUGGGUUUGACAUGGAUCGGGAGUGCUCAGAGAUGGGUGUGCCUCUUUUGGGGUCGGUUCACAGGUGGUGCAUGGCUGUCGUCAGCUCGUGUCGUGAGAUGUUGGGUUAAGUCCCGCAACGAGCGCAACCCUUGUUCACUGUUGCCAGCACGUUAUGGUGGGGACUCAGUGGAGACCGCCGGGGUCAACUCGGAGGAAGGUGGGGAUGACGUCAAGUCAUCAUGCCCCUUAUGUCCAGGGCUUCACGCAUGCUACAAUGGCUGGUACAGAGAGUGGCGAGCCUGUGAGGGUGAGCGAAUCUCGGAAAGCCGGUCUCAGUUCGGAUUGGGGUCUGCAACUCGACCUCAUGAAGUCGGAGUCGCUAGUAAUCGCAGAUCAGCAACGCUGCGGUGAAUACGUUCCCGGG